UACGAAGGGGGCUAGCGUUGCUCGGAAUCACUGGGCGUAAAGGGUGCGUAGGCGGGUCUUUUAAGUCAGGGGUGAAAUCCUGGAGCCCAACUCCAGAACUGCCUUUGAUACUGAGGAUCUUGAGUUCGGGAGAGGUGAGUGGAACUGCGAGUGUAGAGGUGAAAUUCGUAGAUAUUCGCAAGAACACCAGUGGCGAAGGCGGCUCACUGGCCCGAUACUGACGCUGAGGCACGAAAGCGUGGGGGAGCAAACAGG
rnacentral:rRNA from 1 species